rnacentral:tRNA from 1 species
AGACGAUGGGGGCAUACUUACCCGACCGCCAUCAUACUAUGUUCAUAGUAUGACCAGUUUUUUGAAAUUGUCA